rnacentral:rRNA from 1 species
GGGGGAUAUUGCACAAUGGGGGAAACCCUGAUGCAGCGACGCCGCGUGGAGGAAGAAGGUUUUCGGAUUGUAAACUCCUGUCGUUAGGGACGAUAAUGACGGUACCUAACAAGAAAGCACCGGCUAACUACGUGCCAGCAGCCGCGGUAAAACGUAGGGUGCAAGCGUUGUCCGGAAUUACUGGGUGUAAAGGGAGCGCAGGCGGGCGAUCAAGUUGGAAGUGAAAACCAUGGGCUCAACCCAUGAAUUGCUUUCAAAACUGUUUUUCUUGAGUAGUGCAGAGGUAGAUGGAAUUCCCGGUGUAGCGGUGGAAUGCGUAGAUAUCGGGAGGAACACCAGUGGCGAAGGCGGUCUACUGGGCACCAACUGACGCUGAGGCUCGAAAGCAUGGGUAGCAAACAGGAUUAGAUACCCUGGUAGUCCAUGCCGUAAACGAUGAUUACUAGGUGUUGGGGGAUUGACCCCCUCAGUGCCGCAGUUAACACAAUAAGUAAUCCACCUGGGGAGUACGACCGCAAGGUUGAAACUCAAAGGAAUUGACGGGGGCCCGCACAAGCAGUGGAGUAUGUGGUUUAAUUCGAAGCAACGCGAAGAACCUUACCAGGUCUUGACAUCCGAUGCAUAGCACAGAGAUGUGUGAAAUCCUUCGGGACAUCGAGACAGGUGGUGCAUGGUUGUCGUCAGCUCGUGUCGUGAGAUGUUGGGUUAAGUCCCGCAACGAGCGCAACCCUUAUUGCCAGUUACUACGUUAAGAGGACUCUGGCGAGACUGCCGUUGACAAAACGGAGGAAGGUGGGGAUGACGUCAAAUCAUCAUGCCCUUUAUGACCUGGGCUACACACGUACUACAAUGGCGUUAAACAAAGAGAAGCAAGACCGCGAGGUGGAGCAAAACUCAAAAACAACGUCUCAGUUCAGAUUGCAGGCUGCAACUCGCCUGCAUGAAGUCGGAAUUGCUAGUAAUCGCGGAUCAGCAUGCCGCGGUGAAUACGUUCCCG